CACGGCUGCGGGCCAGUCCGGGCGCCCGGGGACCCGCGCCGGCGGCGGAGGCGGGACCGCUUCCAUUUAGAUGAAGCAGGUGUUGUGGUUACUAUUUGCAAUUCAUCCAGAAAAUAUGUAUUUAAGUAUUGAUUGAGGGAUGUUGCUUUUGGCACGGAGGGACACAACUGGAAAGAAAGAGCAAAAAUUCCUUCAGUCAGUGUCUAGUUCAGCCCCCUCAUAAGCCAUUUCUUCCCAAGUAUUUGCAAAGGACUCCAGGAGACAACAGGCUCAUCAAAUCAGUGAGGCAGAGAUGUGGACAAGCAGUUUGCUCUGGUCAACCAUAGAGGGCUGAGAACUCAUAGAAGGCUGCUAAGAAAACAACCAGCCUAGCUGCCCAUAAUUCAUUUGUUUUAAAUACCAUACUCAUGAAUACCCCUUUCCCUUCACCAAUAUCUGCCAUAUUGUCCUUUUUUGAUUAAUUUUCUCAUUCAAGGCUGAAAAUUAGAAUUUCAGUACUAAAUUAAAAUUUCAAAA